AUCUCUCCAUUGUCCUGUAUUUUGUUGAUCAUACGAAUGAGGUUUGUUUCCUACACCUACAUUACUAGGUCCACUACCAGCAGUUCCAUAUGUUUGAGUAGGAAUUGGUGUGUUCUUUUGAAGAGUUGAUGCUUCAUUUGAACAAGCAGGAGAAGAGACUCCAGGAGUACAACCAGAACCUGCACCCACAUUACCAGCAGGUCCACUUGGCAAAUUACCUUUAUUAGGUUGAUCUCUCCAUUGUCCUGUGUUUUGUUGGUCAUAUGAAUGAGGUUUAUUUCCUACACCUACAUUACUAGGUCCACUACCAGCAGUUCCAUAUGUUUGAGUAGGAAUUGGUGUGUUCUUUUGAAGAGUUGAUGCUUCAUUUGAACAAGCAGGAGAAGAGACUCCAGGCGUACAACCAGAACCUGCACCCACAUUACCAGCAGGUCCAUUUGGCAAAUUACCUUUAUUAGGUUGAUCUCUCCAUUGUCCUGUGUUUUGUUGGUCAUAUGAAUGAGGUUUAUUUCCUACACCUACAUUACUA